rnacentral:lncRNA from 1 species
AGCAAGUGGGCAAACCCCACUCCUCAACCCUAGUCCACUAAAGAAAUGAAAAAAGGGAACACGCGGGCAGCAGAGCUCAAUUAAGAUCAUGGACGAAACACCAAGCGCAUGCGGCAAGCCAGACAGGACAACGCAUGUCGUGAAACAGACAAUGCCGCAAAAAGAUGCAUGUGCUCAAAUGGCCCGUGCUCAAUACUUCACACUGUCCAAGCAGUGAGGAAGUCGUGAUAAUGUCAGGAACAAGGUAACACUGAUUUCAAUCGAUUGUAUUGGUUACCUGAACACAGCAAAAAAGUACCAGCCCGAACUAGUCUCACAGACAAGAUCGGCACUGCACUUUCGUUCAGAAAUUACGGGCGUGCACAAAAGUGUCCUUCAACCACAGUAUUUAUUUCCACGUGCAAUUCAGUUGCCGUGUAGCUAGACUUGCCGAACAAACUUUCGAUACAAAGCAUUAUGGAUCAACAUUUGCCUUUCUGUGUUGCAGAGCGACGAAUGCGAUGGUUAAUACAUAUAAACGUGAGUAAGGCUCUGUGGAUGGCUUAAAAUGAGAAAGAUUCUAUAUAUUAAAAAUCAGUGCCACAGAUGCUGAUGUGCCCGCCCGCCGAAAAUCUUCAAAGCAAUCACACAAGACUCGACAGGUGCAGAAGCCCCAACAAACAUCUUUGUGCAAGCUUCGCAAGGCAGUGUGCACCGACAUACAUCUGCAUGCCGCGUCUUCCCUUCACAUUACACCUCCCUUAUCCCUCCUCCCACCCCCCUUUUAAUUUUUUGCUUUCGUUAGCAUGCGCAGCGACCAAAUUAACCCUUUUGCUACCAUGAAAAAAGAAGAAAAUUCAUUUCCAUGUCUGUUUCACUAUAUGCGACGCUCGGGUAAGCGACAGGGACCAGUGAACAUGAAUGUGAGCAGUCUGCUUGUUGAAAGUCAAUUGAUCACCAUUGGUUCAGCAGUCUUAUGGGACAAUUGCAAAGCUAUAUUCAACUGUUGGCGCCUUUGUGCCAUCAAAAACAAUCACAUUUUUUGUUUUCCUGUCGUAGAUACAGGCUGCAUCUUCACUUGAAAUUAUUUACAUACAUGUAAAGAAUUGAUUGUGUUUAUAUUUACAACGUUGAAGGGAUAUGUUUUGCCUGCCUAUUUCUGGCGCCUAAUAUGUGCUUUUCUAAUGCCUAAAAGCGGGCAUUACGGAUACUAAUCAGCAUCCGUAAUCAAGAGCAAGUUAGGAUUACUCCUUCUUAUUCAGAGUAUAAUAUUAUGCAAACCACAGCACAUUCAAGCAUACAUUCAGGUGCAGUUAUCACAAGGCCACAAAGAGCAGCCAGGAGAGAAAACGAGUGCACCUGACGCAUUAUGAAGUACACACUGAAACAGGGCAGGACAGCCCUGACAACCCCGAGAACCGGAGCAUUCAGACAAGGUGUUGUGGGAAAUGUGGGAAGUACUUCAUUCCUACACUGCAAGGCGCGAAAACUAGCGCCUUUUACCCCAGCACAUCUUCCUUGUCACCUCCAACCGGUUCUCGACUGUGGGAGACAGUACAUUGAUUGUCGGGAGGGACCAAUGCUGGCAGAAGCCGAAAUCGGACAUGCGCAUACGUGCGGCCCAUAUGAAAGAAAUGGUCAGGACACCAUUGACAACGUAAGCAAGAAAGCGAUGAACGAGAGAUCCAGGUAAACACAUUAGCCCUUAUCGUUGCUUGCCAACCUUGAUUCCCGGUUUGCCCUCCAACAAGGGAUCGGGAUUACCUCGCCCAGGACAAUAUGGAAAUCCACAGUAAAUGUUGUUUGUUUCAUUACUGUGUGUGCUCCGAAGGCGACAGGGCACCAAGGAGUGUAUGUGUGCACUGGGAAGCUAGUCUGUGUCUGUAGCACCUAAAAAGGAGCUAGACCAGGUAGAACACGCUGACAGCGUAUAGCUGGGAAACUGGUUACCACCGUUCUGCGUUAAUUCCAACUGCCUCAAUUGAAUGAAGGGACAAUAAAAGUAAAUAUUAAGUUGAUGCGGAUUGCUAAAAUAUUCCAGAAACUUUGCAGCACCUCAUUUGUGCCUUUUGUUUCUGUAUGCCUAAGGGUUCAUCACCGUUGUGCUUUAUGAAUUCAUUAUUCUGUAACAAACACCAGAUGAAAAAUAGCACUGUGCAUUGUGCAAUCCUUUUCCUUAGGGUGUGUCAACUCGUGCUGUUGCAGCUACGAACCUAUGGCAAGAUGGUACGACACACUUGUAAUGUAACGCAGCACAGAAAAUAGAAACUGGCAGAAUGACACAGGCUACAGUGCCUUUCUUCACUAUUAUCCCAUCUUUUGCGCAGUUUUGAGUUCAUAUGCAUACCAACUUGCCCAAUUUUCGAUCCUUCUUAAUCUACUUUCCCGCAUUGCAGUCCUUUACGUACAGGUUAUCAGACCAAGAUAGAUCUGUGGAGAUUAUUUGGCAAAAUCUUGCACAGCUCAUCUUGUGAUUUUAUUUGACUGCUGCCAAUGAGGUGGAUUUAUGUCAGUCAAUCGUGACAAGUGAGGGCAUGGGUCAUGGUUGCUUAGGUGUGACAAUAGAUGUGUACGACUUAUCGCUAGAAUCCGUCUCUAGGUGUACUGUCAUUCCGAAGCAGCUCUUCGCAGCAUGGAUACACAGCUUGCCCAAAAGUGUCUUCCCCGUGAUGGCAAUGAACAAUGUGUUUCCCAUUUUUCUUGAUGCUGGAAGAAUAAUACACACAGUGAUCGAUUUCAGCAACCCAUCUUUCAAUAUGGUUGAAAAUCUCGGCGACAAAAAUUUUGUUCAGGAUCCCU